CUGAAGUCAGGCCACGGCGUCAGUAGGCUUCUCCCCAGACACAUUUUCCAGUUCCUCCUGGGAACAUAUAAGACAUUCCCAGGCAAGAGGAGCUAUAUAAUCUCUCUCAUUGGUUCUGGGUCUGCCGGUAUUCCUCUCAGUUGAGCAUAUUUGGAAAACUUUCAAUAAGCGGUGUCCAGGAAGCAUCCUAAAUAGAUGACCUAAUCAGGAGCUCCUCACCCAGCCACCCUGCUAAGUUGUAUUUUCAGCUUUACACUUUCAGUCGUUUCAUGACGGUUGGCUCAGCUCUUGCUUCAUCACCACAGUCUGGGUGAUCCUGGUCCAGACGGGUACGGGGGUGACGGUGGACUCGAUGGAAACCCGGACUUUUGUAGAGACGAUGUGUUCCAC